rnacentral:rRNA from 1 species
UACGUAGGGGGCAAGCGUUAUCCGGAAUCAUUGGGCGUAAAGAGCUCGUAGGCGGUUUCGUUAGUCGGGUGUGAAAACCCCAGGCUCAACCUGGGGACGCCACCCGAUACUGCGAUGACUAGAGUCCGGUAGGGGAGUGUGGAAUUCCUGGUGUAGCGGUGAAAUGCGCAGAUAUCAGGAGGAACACCAACGGCGAAGGCAGCACUCUGGGCCGGAACUGACGCUGAGGAGCGAAAGCGUGGGUAGCGAACAGG